rnacentral:rRNA from 1 species
AGAGUUUGAUCCUGGCUCAGAGUGAACGUUGGCGGCGUGGAUUAGGCAUGCAAGUCGAACGCGAAAGUUCCUUCGGGAAUAAGUAGCGUGGCGAGAGGGGCAGUAAGGCAUAAGUAACCUACCCUUCGGACCGGGAUAUACGGUGGAAACGCCGGGCAAUACUGGACAUCGUCCUUGGAAGGCAUCUUCUGAUGAUGAAAUGGUCUGCCGCCGGGGGAGGGGCUUAUGUGCUACCAGCUUGUUGGUGAGGUAAUGGCUCACCAAGGCUACGACGGCUAGGGGGUGUGAGGGCACGAUCCCCGCCACUGGGACUGAGAACUGCCCAGACUCCUACGGGAGGCUGCAGUCGAGAAUCUUCGGCAAUGGGGGCAACCCUGACCGAGCGACGCCGCGUGGUGGUAGAAGACCUUCGGGUUGUAAACACCUGUUGGGGGGGAGCAAUUUUGAGUGAACCCCUGAGGAAGCACGGGCUAAGUUCGUGCCAGCAGCCGCGGUAAGACGAACCGUGCAAACGUUACUCGGAAUCACUGGGCUUAAAGCGUACGUAGGCGGCGUCAUAAGUCAGAGGUGAAAUCCCAUCGGCUCAACCGUGGAAUUGCCUCUGAUACUGUGACGCUUGAGGGAGAACGGGGCAUUCGGAACUUCCGGUGGAGCGGUGAAAUGUGUUGAUAUCGGAAGGAACGCCGGUGGCGAAAGCGGAAUGCUGGGUCUCAACUGACGCUGAGGUACGAAAGCUAGGGUAGCGAACGGGAUUAGAUACCCCGGUAGUCCUAGCCGUAAACGAUGAGCACUUGGUAGAA